rnacentral:rRNA from 1 species
GACGAACGCUGGCGGCGUGCUUAACACAUGCAAGUCGAACGAAGUGGCGAACGGGUGAGUAACGCGUAAUCAACCGGCCCUUCAGGGGGGGACAACAGUUGGAAACGACUGCUAAUACCGAAUACUGAAGGAGGGGAUGGCGGGUGAGUAGCUAGGUGGGGGGGUAACGGCCCACCAAGGCGAUGGGCAGUAGCCGGUCUGAGAGGCUUACUGGGCACAUUGGGACUGAGACACGGGCCAGAAUCCUUCGGGAGGCAGCAGUGGGGAAUCUUCCGAAAUGGACGAAAGUCCGACGGAGCAACGCCGCGUGAGUGAUGACGGCCUUCGGGUUGUAAAGCUCUGUUAAUCGGGACGCGGUACCGGAAUAGAAAGCCACGGCUAACUACGUGCCAGCAGCCGCGGUAAUUC